CUGUUUUUUUUCUCUCUGUUUUAUCUCAAAGCCAUCAUCGCAUUGGCUUAUGUAACCCUCGCCCUCAAAGUGAUUUCAGUCCUAUGCAAUGUGUCAUUGCUAAUAUCCGUUGGCACGAAAAACAUUAAUUUGGCUGUGGUCUGGCUGGUGUGGAACGUUUUUGAUUUUGCAUACUCUGUUUUAGUGACAAGUUUCCUGUUGUCCGUCUUCGAUGUGUUUAUAUAUGCAGAUAUUGUGAUAAUCCUGUGGUGGUUGCUUACGGUAAGUU